rnacentral:rRNA from 1 species
GAUGAACGCUGGCGGCGUGCCUAAUACAUGCAAGUCGAGCGAACAGACGAGGAGCUUGCUCCUCUGACGUUAGCGGCGGACGGGUGAGUAACACGUGGAUAACCUACCUAUAAGACUGGGAUAACUUCGGGAAACCGGGGCUAAUACCGGAUAAUAUAUUGAACCGCAUGGUUCAAUAGUGAAAGACGGUUUUGCUGUCACUUAUAGAUGGAUCCGCGCCGCAUUAGCUAGUUGGUAAGGUAACGGCUUACCAAGGCAACGAUGCGUAGCCGACCUGAGAGGGUGAUCGGCCACACUGGAACUGAGACACGUUCCAGACUCCUACGGUAGGCAGCAGUAGGGAAUCUUCCGCAAUGGGCGAAAGCCUGACGGAGCAACGCCGCGUGAGUGAUGAAGGUCUUCGGAUCGUAAAACUCUGUUAUUAGGGAAGAACAAAUGUGUAAGUAACUAUGCACGUCUUGACGGUACCUAAUCAGAAAGCCACGGCUAACUACGUG